GAUGAACGCUGGCGGCGUGCCUAAUACAUGCAAGUCGAGCGAACAGACGAGGAGCUUGCUCCUCUGACGUUAGCGGCGGACGGGUGAGUAACACGUGGAUAACCUACCUAUAAGACUGGGAUAACUUCGGGAAACCGGAGCUAAUACCGGAUAAUAUAUUGAACCGCAUGGUUCAAUAGUGAAAGACGGUUUUGCUGUCACUUAUAGAUGGAUCCGCGCCGCAUUAGCUAGUUGGUAAGGUAACGGCUUACCAAGGCAACGAUGCGUAGCCGACCUGAGAGGGUGAUCGGCCACACUGGAACUGAGACACGGUCCAGACUCUUACGGGAGGCAGCAGUAGGGAAUCUUCCGCAAUGGGCGAAAGCCUGACGGAGCAACGCCGCGUGAGUGAUGAAGGUCUUCGGAUCGUAAACCUCUGUUAUUAGGGAAGAACAAAUGUGUAAGUAACUAUGCACGUCUUGACGGUACCUAAUCAGAAAGCCACGGCUAACUACGUG
rnacentral:rRNA from 1 species